rnacentral:rRNA from 1 species
CCUACGGGAGGCAGCAGUGAGGAAUAUUGGUCAAUGGACGCGAGUCUGAACCAGCCAAGCAGCGUGCAGGAUGACGGCCCUAUGGGUUGUAAACUUCUUUUGUAAAGGGAUAAACUGAGACACGUGUGUCUUUCUGUAAGUAUUUUAUGAAUAAGGAUCGGCUAACUCCGUGCCAGCAGCCGCGGUAAUACGGAGGAUUCAAGCGUUAUCCGGAUUUAUUGGGUUUAAAGGGUGCGUAGGUGGUUGGAUAAGUCAGAGGUGAAAGCCUGCGGCUCAACCGUAGAAUUGCCAUUGAUACUGGUAGUCUUGAGUGCAGUUGAGGUAGGCGGAAUGUAUGGUGUAGCGGUGAAAUGCUUAGAGAUCAUGAAGAACACCGAUUGCGAAGGCAGCUUACCAAGCUACUUCUGACGUUGAGGCACGAAAGUGUGGGGAGCAAACAGGAUUAGAUACCCUGGUAGUC